rnacentral:lncRNA from 1 species
GACAACAGGUGAACCAGUGGAUACGCUGGUGUCAGAUUCUGUGCACUUCCAAAAUAAAGGAAAUGCAAGGGAAGAGCCUCUGGGCUCAGCUUGCAACCCAGUUUUGCAAAGCUCCUCCUGGACUUCCUGGACAUCCUUUAUGUACUGGAUACGAAACCCGCUGCUUAUUUUUUGAGGAGCAGGACGAGUGGUCCGCGUUCCACACGGGGACCUGUACUGGAUUCGCACACUUACUACUGUCCCAGUGCCGAUAUUUCAAGUCAUGAACGUAAAAUUACCAAUUAAGCAAUCUGAAAUGCUAAUUAAAUUCUUCAUAGAAAUUGCAUUCUUACUUAAGAG